rnacentral:rRNA from 1 species
GAUGAACGCUGGCGGCGUGCCUAAUACAUGCAAGUCGAGCGAACAGACGAGGAGCUUGCUCCUCUGACGUUAGCGGCGGACGGGUGAGUAACACGUGGAUAACCUACCUAUAAGACUGGGAUAACUUCGGGAAACCGGAGCUAAUACCGGAUAAUAUAUUGAACCGCAUGGUUCAAUAGUGAAAGACGGUUUUGCUGUCACUUAUAGAUGGAUCCGCGCCGCAUUAGCUAGUUGGUAAGGUAACGGCUUACCAAGGCAACGAUGCGUAGCCGACCUGAGAGGGUGAUCGGCCACACUGGAACUGAGAAACGGUCCAGACCCCUACGGGAGGCAGCAGUAGGGAAUCUUCCGCAAUGGGCGAAAGCCUGACGGAGCAACGCCGCGUGAGUGAUGAAGGUCUUCGGAUCGUAAAACUCUGUUAUUAGGGAAGAACAAAUGUGUAAGUAACUAUGCACGUCUUGACGGUACCUAAUCAGAAAGCCACGGCUAACUACGUG